rnacentral:lncRNA from 1 species
UGCCAUAGUCUUGUGGGCAUGGCCUGAGCUCACUCUGAUACAAUGUCUUUACUCUUCUAGGAGGAGCCUUAGGUGCAGCAGCGUGGGUGCUUAACAAACAGUGGGUCUUUCUCAGGACACAUGGUGCUGGUACCAACACUCUGACUGUCUUCUACUCUGUGGUCAAAGGAAUUACUGUCUAUUGUGUGCACACCAAAACCUUCACUUCUCUGUGCUGGUUUAUAGCAUUAUUUACAUGUCCAACCUGAUAUUCUACACCCAGCCCGCAUGCCUGUUCGCCACAAUACAUCUCUAACCUCUCCAGCAUGUUUUCCUUUCUUAAGAGUUAUUAAUCUUCACACCCCACUUUCCUGUAAAGGGUGAGUCUUUCUCUGAUUGGUAAGUCUAAACUUCAAAUAAAUUCCACCAAUAAAAUCA